UUCCUUUCUUUCUUCUUCUCUUUCUUUCUGCCUGCCUUCCUUCCUUCCUUCCUUCCUUCCUUCCUUCCUUCCUUCCUUCCUUCCUUCCUUACUUUCUUUCUUUCUUUCUUUCUUUCCUUUAUUUUUAUAAGUUCCUUGGCUAGGGAUUGAAUCAGAGCUGCAGCUGCAGGCCUAUGCCACAACCAUAGCAACACCAGAUCAGAGCUGCCUCUGUGACCUAUGCCACAGCUUGGGGCAAUGCUGGAUCCCUAACCCACUGAGGGAAAUCAGGGAUCGAACCCACAUCCUCAUGGAUACUAGUUGGGUUCUUAACCUACUGAGCCACAACAGGAACUCCUCAUCUCUCUUCUUUUGGACUGACCUGUAACUCAAAAGUAUGGAAUUCAACUAAAAUGCUGGAAGAUCAUAUAUCAUUUGAGAUUUGUCAGAAUAAUUUGCCGCAAGGGGUGGGUGUGCUGGAAGUGGAUAAAAUGAAACAAGAUUUGCAAAACAUUUGGAUACAUUUUUCAACUGACUGCUGAGUACACAGAGUUUCAUAAUAAUAUUCUCUUUAUUUUGUCUAAGUUUAAAAGUUUUUAAAACAACAUAGCAUAUCCCAGAACAUGCAUGAAAUCUCCGCUAUGAUAGGAUUUGUUAGAGAAAAAGCUAAGUCCCACAUUCUGUCUCAUAAUGCUGUAUAUUGAUUAAUGAGAAACACGAUUGCUUUUUUUUUUAGAGCCAGGUACAUUUUGUUGAUUUCUGUUUUGUAAAAAAAAAAAACCUAUGCUAUUUUCCCUUCUUGAUUGACGCGGUUAGUCCUUGUUUUUAUUGCUGGUGGGUCUGCCUUCAAUCAUAGAGCUUAUUAUUUGCCCUUGACCAUCUUCUUUUGGUAGAUUUCACCCGUCAAGCAGCUUAUUCAUUUGAGACUCUACACACGUAUUUUUAGCAUGUCCUUUAAAUCCACAUCUGAGUCACUGGUGAAAAACACUGAGACAGGCUCAAGUUAGAACCUAGAGCAUGAACUUGCAAAACAUUUUCUGUGUGUUGAGGGUGUGGAAGGAUAACUGAACAAACUGAGAUGAGACCACCCAUUCACUGAGGAAAACACAGAAAAUGGGGUCAUGGAACUCUCGGCGGAAAAAAUGUAAAGCUUAUUUUUUAUCCUUUUUUUUUUUUUUUUUUUGCAAUAAGGUUCAGCAUUUGUUGGUAAGGUGAUGGCACUGAUCUGGAAUGUUAAAAAAAAAAAAAGAAUCUUGAUAAUGAUGGAACUUAAAAUGCCCCCAUAAUAAAAAUAUUAUUGUCCCUGAGCAGUGAGUUGAGGUAGACGUAGGGCGUAGUAAAUCUACCAGGGGAAGGAAGGAGAUAAUUGGAUGUUAAGAAAGAAUUCAUCUUCCUUCCGCUGCAGCAAGUUGCAUUUACAUCACACUUUAUAAAUAAUCACCUCUAACCCUUCAACAGAUUGCUGCAAUUUAUCACGGAUUUUUUAAAUGCUACCUUGGAUAUAGAUAAUUAAUCAGCACCAACUGUUUGAUUUGUAAUUGCUUAAUAAUUGGGGGAUAAAUUAUAUUUAUCUCUGUGUUAAACAUACUCAUUUAUUUUUUUUCAAGUAGGCAUAUUUCAAUUUCUUUCAGACGUGAUGACAAAUUCAUGAUCAAUACGCUAGGAAGAUGUACACCACUGGCAUCAUAGCAUUAUCUGCUGAGAUGAUGAGAAAAAGCACGUUUCCCGCCCCCUCUUCUAGAUUGAAAGAUCAGAGCUUUAGACUAAGGGAAUGACCAAAAAUGCAUCCUUGGCAAGCAUCACAGAAAGCCAGCUGAGGAGGGAGCUGUACUGGGAGAAAAACUAUGGCAUGAAGAGAUAAGAGCUUCAAGCCUCAAAUUCGUUGUGCUGGGGACUCACCCAAAAGCCUCUCUUGCAACAAACUGCCUAGAACAGAAUCCCCAUCCUUAACUGGAGACGGUUUGGUGCCAGCAGGAGGAGGGACACAGGCAGGUUGAUAACAUACCAUAUAAUCUCUCGUAGCCUGGAAGCCACAAAAAUAAAUAUCAAUGCUAAUAACAACCUAUUGUGUUGGAAGUGUGAUUCUAACCUGCCUCAGUAACAAGACUGGUAACCAGAGAACAAGAAACUAGAGAAGGCUGCAGAAUUCAUAAAGAUAUACAAGGACAGGCAGUUCCCGUUGUGGCGCAGUGGAAAUGAAUCCAACUAGGACCCAUGAGGUUGCGGGUUCGAUCCCUGGCCUCGCUCAUACACUGUGUUGGGUUCCUAACCCACUGAGCCACAGCAGCAACUCCCACGGGUUCUUUUUAUUUUUAGCUACAUGCAACCAUGAGCAAACUGUCUAACCUAAGACGGUUUGUUCAUCUGGAAAUAUGAAAAAUAAAUAAAUAAACGCCCUGAUUACCUAAAAACCAGUGAGACAGAGGUCAAAGGAGAUAAUAUCCAUGAAAACUCUUGCGUUUUCACUAAAAUGGAAACAUUUUAAUUAUAAUGAAUCCUGUAAUGGUAGCAAAAAAAAAAAAAAAAAAGCAUAAACUAUAGAAUGCGAGAUUUUGUGUGAUGAAAGAUAAGGUUUCUAUAAAUGUGUGUAAGAUUUCACAAUGUAUAUUCUUUACUUCUUAGGAAUAUUUCUAAGGGUCUGUUCUGACUCAGUGAUGCAGUGCUAUUAAAGCAGAGUCCUCGUGACAAUGAACUCCAAUCCCCUGUUAAUAAUUGUCCAGAAGGAAGUCAGCAGAGCGGGCCGGAGUCUGUGAGCCUUACAAGGGCCCACUGGCAAAGCCGGCCUUCAGCUGGUAUCGGGGAGCUCGGAUUUCAGGAGCAUUUCCACCAAGAAUGGCUUACUGUGUUCAAAGUACUUAGGGAACAAGGUGGUUCAUGCUGAAACCUGUUUUCCUGCAAGUCUGGAAUUUUAGCAGGUUCCAGGCAGAGGGUGCCUAUGGGACCAGCCCUCCUGAACCCCUGGGCACUGAGUCCAAUGGGCU
rnacentral:lncRNA from 1 species